rnacentral:rRNA from 1 species
GACGAACGCUGGCGGCGUGCCUAAUACAUGCAAGUAGAACGCACAGUUUAUACCGUAGCUUGCUACACCAUAGACUGUGAGUUGCGAACGGGUGAGUAACGCGUAGGUAACCUGCCUGGUAGCGGGGGAUAACUAUUGGAAACGAUAGCUAAUACCGCAUAAUAUUAAUUAUUGCAUGAUAAUUGAUUGAAAGAUGCAACUGCAUCACUACCAGAUGGACCUGCGUUGUAUUAGCUAGUAGGUGAGGUAACGGCUCACCUAGGCGACGAUACAUAGCCGACCUGAGAGGGUGCUCGGCCACACUGGGACUGGGACACGGCCCAGACUCCUACGGGAGGCAGCAGUAGGGAAUCUUCGGCAAUGGACGAAAGUCUGACCGAGCAACGCCGCGUGAGUGAAGAAGGUUUUCGGAUCGUAAAGCUCUGUUGUAAGAGAAGAACGGGUGUGAGAGUGGAAAGUUCACACUGUGACGGUAUCUUACCAGAAAGGGACGGCUAACUACGUG